AAAUCCCUCAUAAUAUCUCUCUACAAAAGGAUGCACAAAACCCAAAAAAAAACUAAUUUUUCUCUUGAGUUUUUCUCCUGCUGCAAUUUCCUCCUGCAGCCGCAAAAGCACCCAGCCGAACAAAACCAAACCUCCUGCGCGCUCGUACUUGCUCAGCUAAUGAAGAGCCGCCUGCUUUUGUAAAGCCUCCACGCACAGAACCCUAGGAAAUAAAUCACAAUCAUAUAUAUAUAUAUGAAUACGGGUGGGCCUUGGUAAGUCAGGUGUGAGCUUCCGUGUUUCUUCCGUGUUCACACUAAUUUGAGGACAUUUGCACCCGCGUUCACCCGCGUUCACACACAUGUGGUCCCCCCCAAGUAGCCACGUUCACAUGAAGCUCCAUCAAUUUCCAAAUUCAAGACCUUGAUGGCAACAAGAAGGCCAUCAUCUAAAAGCCCUCUGUACACAGAACCAAAUGCACCCCUUCCGAGUAAGUUUAUCUCGCUGAAGUUGUCAGUGGCACGAACAAGCUCGUAGUAGGGGAUCAAUCUAUGCUUAGUAGGAGAGAGCGUGCUACUCGGGGUCGAAUUCUUGAAUCUCCUUCUACGUAAUCCUAAUAAGAUGCAAAAAUAGAGAACAAGGAUUCCCGUAGAAGCUAUAGCAGGGAGGAUAUAUCUUAACAAAUGCCUCCCCAAAUUAGAAACUGUGGAAUCAGUUAUGUUGCAAGAUGGAAAGCCAAAUCUGGGUGCUCUACAUAAUGCUGCAUUUCCUUCCAAAGACACGAUGAUGACAUUCAUAAAGGCACCAAAAUUGUUGUCUGGUGACUACUGAUGUCACUGCUUGCAGUAGUUCCAUCAGUGCAUUGUUGUCUAUUGGAUUUUUUGAGGUGGAUGCACGAGCAAUUCUAGAUCUCGUCAUUUCGCUUAUUGUUUGAUUAAGAUCCUUAUCUCCGUUAGGAGGGGUUUGAUCAUUACCUGUAGCCAUAUCUCCCUAUAAAUAAUAAAAUGUUUGGGUCAACCAUUAUGUAAGAGACAAUUUCUAAGCCCAUCACAUAUAUGCAAUUCAAGUAACUGUAAAUUCAAUCAUUAUUCAAAUAGUAACACAAAUUAGUAUUACAAGCCAAAAAAGUAUAGUAUUGAUAUUUAACUUUUCAGUUCAUACACAUAUGCGAGUACAUGGGUUUAAAUAUAUACAUGUUUUUCUACCAAAAAGUCCUAUAUACACCAAAAGGGUAACUAAGAAAAGCCAUGUAUUGUUCUUACAAAAUUGUGCUACCUGCUAAAUUCUACUCCGUUGAGGAAGAGGAGCUGCUAGAACUAGACUCCACCUCGGUUGGUUGUCUCCUCCGAGUCCUGGCUACUAUCAGAGUCAGACAAUGGAUCUGGAUCAAUACCACUAGUCCCCCAUUCUUCAAGAUCGAAGUCUGCACCAAUACCCAAGAUAUUCGACUCACCCUCAGAGGAGGCAAGUCCUUGGUCAUCAUUAGAAAUCUUGGCUACAUGAGAUUCCAUACGGGAGGGGUCGGAUGAAAUCAUAAUGAUUUCAGAGGGUGGGGACUCUAUGGGAAUAACUUCUACCACUGGCUCAUCCUUAUUAAAGGGAUUAGUCUCGGACUCGGAAGAAUCUACUGGUAUGAUCUCUAUAGACUCUAUAUCAGAGGAAUAUGUCAUCUCACUAUCAGCCAAAAUCUCCUCUGGGUCAAUCUCGUUAGAAUCGUACUCCCAGUCUUUUUGUCUGAGUUCCCAAGAGUUGUCUAUUGAGAUUGUAUAGCUAGAAUGGGUGUCUGAGAAACUGGUUGAUGAAUGUGUCUCCGCCAUCCUACAAAAGGGGGACCAUCCAUCUGCAUACUAAAAUAAAAGGACAAAAAUAAAAUAAAAUAAAAAAAUAAAUAGGUAUUAAGAAAUAUUAGAAAAUUCUAAAAUGAAAUAAGGUCAACUAAAUCCCAUAUGUACCCUCCUUAAAUAUGUAAAAGGCCUUACUAUAAAACAUUUAUAUGCAUACACGUAUGUACAUAUGUAUACAAAUAUAUAUGUCACAUAAUUGAUCCAUACGAUAACACUCAUCUAGCGCAUAUACACUAUGCUACGUGCCCUACAAGGCUUCUAACGUCGAACCUAGGCUCUAAUACCAUCUUACUGUCACGCCUCAAAUUUGUAGCGGAAAUUCAUAAAAAAUGUUUACGUGACAGCAGCGACCCGUGCACGAGACAAAGUCCCGAGCAUGAGUCAAGCUUGACACUUCAUAUCAUAGAGAUUAUCUCAAAACAUAUAUAAACUUACUGAUGAUAGAAGUUUAGAGCCACUAUAUAUAUAUAAUCAGUACUUACAACCCACAAGCUCACAUUACAAACAUUUUACAAAAUAAAGCAUAUCGUUGACUAUGUGAAACACCAAAGAGGAGAUUUUUCCUAUAACACCUCUCAGCGACGUGCCACAACCAAAAGUUUAGCUUACAAUAUGGCUAGGCAAGAUCUAAAAAAUAAAUAAAUAAAAAACGGGGUGAGCUAGGGUUCAGUGAGAACAUUUCCCACAAGAGUUCCUAGAUAGUUAACAAAAUAAUAAUACAAAUAAUUCCCAGAAAUAAUGAAUUAUAAGUUUUGCACCACAAAUUCAAAAAUAGCAAAAUACGAUCCAAAUAUCAUAAUAUUGUCAUCUUCAAGAAAGAAUACAAUAGUUAUAUUUUUCUUUCUUAUGUGUAACUGAAUAUACUGUAAUAUUUUCUAGAAUCAGACCCUUUUUGAAUCAAGGUAAACAUUAAGAAAGAAAAAGAACUACUAAAUUUGUACAAAACCAGAUGAUUAUUAUUUUCUCAAUUUCACAGUCAAUUGUCAGAAUCUUAAAUCUCGAUGAGUCAUUCGUAAAUAUGAAAAUCACCUAAUAGGUCACUAAGUCUACGAAUUAUAGCCUAGUAGCAUAGGAAUGCAUAAAACGCAUCACAUAACAGAUAAUUCCUGGGAAUCGAAUGCACCUAUCACUGUCAUAGGUUACUAGCCAAAUACAAAGGGGCCAGAACAGAUUUCAGAAGGGCCAAUACAAAAGGGCCAAAUAAAGAUGCAUUCACCAUAUUAUAGGCAAAAUCAUUCCAUAGUGGACUUUUUUUACGGUUUAAAAAUAUCGAGAAUCACUUGUCAAAUCGGAAAGACAUCACUUAUCAGAAUUUGCUAAACAUUUUGAAUCAAGUGGACGAGUGUGAACUCAUCAUCUUAAACCUUAAUUAAAACAGUUCACGGAUUUUACUUUUCUCUACUUUUAUCAGAUACUAAGCCACAGAAAAUCUUUGAAUCCAUUAAACUAUCGAAACACGUUCAAAAUAUUUCUUUUCUUCAAAAAGCUUUCAAAUAAAGCAAUACCCAAAAUUAUUGAAAUCACAUGAGAACCAAAUUCAUUUUUCAUAGUUCAUAUAAAAUCAAAUUGAUUUUUUUUUAUAUCCUGUACGAAAUCAACAUCGUAUUAUGGCUUAGGCCACAACAGAAGUAGAUCAAAUCACCUUUAACUUUAUAUACAUGAAAAUGAUAUAUUAUUUAUUUUUUGAUCACAAGAUAAAUCAAAUAUAACACUCAUGUAAUUUUAUUUUAUAAAAUACUAGUGAGAAAUGAACUCACCUUUAGUGGUCACGACUUCUUCAAAAUAUUAUUCUCCUGAAUAUCAACCAGAACCUAUAAUAUGAAGAUAUAAAGCUAAUAUUAAUUCAUGACAACACAUAUUAUAGGUUAAUCAAUUCAUAAUCUAGAGCCAAUAAUUUUAAAUAUAAUCAAUAACAAUUAAAAUAUAUAAAUAUGGUACUUAUGAACUUAUUGCCAGCUUUAGCAAUUUAUCAAAAUUUUAUAACUCUCAUAAACCAGCUUUUGGACUUCCUAGUAAUUUAUGAUAAGGUAAGGGGUUAUAGGUAAUUAAUCAAACCCAAAAGUUAUCUUUUAUUCUUUGGAUUGGACUUGUUUGCAAAUAGAGUAAAUAAUAGGGGUCUAUACAUAAUUAUCCUGUUCAUAUAUGAUCCUAAAUUUCUAUGUUAGGGUUUAUUUACAAAUCUUUGUGGCUUUUAACGACUUAGAAUGAAUUCUUAGAUCACAACUCUCUAUCCUCCACUCAAGAGGGUUUAUUAGCAAAGCUAAAAUAACUUAGGGAGUCUUGAUAAAUUUUCCUCCCUUUAUAUUGCUUUAUACCUGAUCCUCUUCCUCCUUCAUCCUUUCUUUCUUUUUUUUUUUUUUCCCAUUCCUCUUUUCUCUUUUUUUCGGCUGGACCGUCUGAGGCAUCCCCCUCCCUCCCUCUCUUUCUCUCGCCAUGUUGGUAGGACGACGACAGGGAACCACCGACAACCAAGAGCGGCCGGCGGCAAGACCCCCGUCGGAUCUAGGAGUAUGCAUCAACAGGUAGAAUCUCACAAAGGCAGAUGUCUAUUUUCACUGGGGAAUCAAGCUUGCCGACAAUGGGUAUGCGAUGUAAAUCAUACCGGCCUGUUUGAUACUGUGGAGACUGUAAUCUCUUGAAGAUGAGAAAGGAAAUGAUUGUUUAUAUUCUAUAAUGGAGUUGGGCAUUAUCUGUUCAAGUGGCUCACCUAAACAAAGGCUUGCUAUGAAAGAUGUGGUUCCAAAGUUGCAGAGGAUCAAGAUGGAAGGGUAUAUGUGAGCGUAUUGUAUUGCUUAGAACUUUGACAAAUGUAUUACAGAUGUACUUACAUAAAUAAAGGUUUCUUGCUAGUUAUUUCAAGAAUAACAUUUGUAUUAUGAGUUAAGGAAGCAAUUGUGAGAAACAUAUUAUAUAAUUUUUAUUUACUA